AGAAUAUGGUUGAUCAUGUGAACUUCAGGCAGGAUCUGUUGAGAGUACAAGACUGCGAGAGUGCUGGAUAUCAGGAUACAGACUCUCUGUGGAAGAGCAAUGUAUUUAACCCUCAGGCACCUUUCAUGGCCUCAGCUGCCUGGAUGAGCUCAGUGACAGAACCUGCCACCCGCUUGGAGAAGCUCGCCAGCUGCUGCUUCAGCUCGUGAGUGGGUUUUUGGAUGAUCUGCAGAGAGACAGAGACGCAGAGUGCAGCAUGUCGGCGAUGGCUCUUCUGCUCAGGUUGGCCGUGGCAAUCACAUCCUCCUGACGACACGAGUUGCCAGCAGCCACCGCCUUCGCUGUGGCCAGCGUGAUACCUUUGGUCAUGCGGAUAAACUCCUCAGGGGUGGCUGUCUUUGGAGGAGGAUCUGGACUGCUGAACACCUGAGAAAGAACAGCAAACUGGUCACCAAAUAAUAAGUCUCUGGCAUUUAACCUCACAGAAGGACUCUGUAAGAAACUGUAACAAAUGCCCUGUAAUAAUUCACUGAUAAUUUUUGCCCAAUAACAAUAAACAAGAAUGCA